CGUGACCCAGCCAAUCAGCCUCAAGAGCAGGAGGAUUGUGGGAGGUGGAGAGAAGCUUGUGUGGGAGAGAGAGGCUUGUGGAAAGCCGGUGGUGGCAGUUGAGGCUCUGAGGGUUUUUCCUGAGAGGCUGUUUUGUUUAGCAUGUGUGGUUCUAAAAAUAAAGUUAGUUUCUUUUGACAAGUGGCUCCUGAUUGUGCCCAGCCAGACUGCGGCAUUUAAACAAGAGUGUCACAGCUGCUGACUCUGAUUUUCUGUUUUAAUGUUUGUACAGUUGUCUCCCCACAUCCAUGCUUUUAUUAUGUAGUUUCAAUUACCCACAGUCAACCACAGACUGAAAAUGUUAAAUGGAAAAUUUCAGGAAUAAACAAUUUCCAAGUUUUAAAUUGUGCACCAUUCUGAGUAGUGUGGUGACACAUGCACCAUUUCAUUUCCUCCAGCUUGAGAAAUGAAUCAUCCCUUUGUACAUAUAUCCACAGGGUAUAUGCUACCCACCUACUAAUCACUUACUGGAUGUCUCAUUUCUCAGAUCGACUCUAGGGAUAUUUCAGUGCUUGUCUUCAAAUUCUUAUUUUACUGAGUAAUAGCUCCAAGGUACAAAAGUUUUGAUGCUGACAGUUUGGAUAUAUCAAAGAGAAGUCAUAAAGCACUUCAUUAAAGUAUUAUCUUUAUUAUUUUGUGACACAAGAAAAAGGGUGAUUACAGUACAAUAUUUUGAGAGAGUAUAAAAAGCAUAUUCAUAUAACUUUUAUUAUAUUGUUAUAAUUGUUCUAUUUUAUCAUUAAUUAUUGUUAUUUCCUAUUGUGCCUAAUUUAUAAAUUAAACUUUUUUUCAUAGUGUGUAUUUUUAGGAAAAAUUAUACUCUAUAUAGGGUUCAGUACUAUCCAUGGUUUCAAGCAUUCAUUUUUAGGUAUUCCCCACAGAAAAGGGAGACAGUUAUAAUAUAGUGAAACUGUUUCUAUGAGGUUAUUGAGCAUGAACAAUUCAAUCAAUUCAUCCCUAUCUUUAUCCUUCAAGUUCACCCAGAGGACGGAGCCAAUACUUUGAAAUGAACCAUGUCACUAUGUAGUAUUGCUGUCAUUACAUUGUGAGAAUUUUGUUGGUUUUGCGUUUUCUUCUAAUGUUUUAGUCCAAGUCACACUUUUUCUAGACAACCUACCUGACUGUAGUGGGUCACAGAGCUGGAAAUUUGCAUUUCUUUUACUUAUUCUUAUUCUACAUUGUCUUUUGUAGGCAUCCAUAUCUCUUUCUGUGAUCUCGGAGAUGUUUUCCAUUUUAAAAAACUGUCCAUGUAUAGAAUUGCUUUUUCACUUUUUUUGUGGAUUGUGUCAUAUUCAUCAUCCAUUACUAAAAAUCAGAGCUGGAACUAAGAACCUGUAGUAGGCUUCAUAAUUCAUUUCUGUCAUUAUUUGGUCACAAUUAACCUUUGAUUACCCUUUCUACCAGGAGGGACUCAGAAUAAAUUUCAAAUAAAAAUAUAUGCUGUUUUCACAGUAGGCCCUCCAUAUCUGUGGGUUCUACAUUUGUGCAUUUAGGCAACAUUGAUGGAAAAUAUUUUUUG
rnacentral:lncRNA from 1 species